rnacentral:lncRNA from 1 species
GCUAAGUUUUACUUUCUUCCCUGAGAAAAAGAGUAGGGAACAGCUGUAUGAUCUAUGCAAUAGUUGAUGCAAAACUACAUCGAAUCCUCAUGCUGUUUGCCAUGUCUUUGUCUAUUGAUAUCAGUAAAAGCAACAUGACUUGGUUUCUCAAACAUACAAGUGAGAUCACUCUCCUCAUGAGCAACAUUCAACAUGCUGGAAGACCAAGUUGUAAUUGUCUUGAUCUGUAAUGAUUAAAUGGCUUUUACUUUGACUGGUGCCUCCCAAAUUGACUGUCCUUGCUGGCCUUGAGGGAUGGUAAAAUUCAACUGU